rnacentral:sRNA from 1 species
UUAAUUAAUCAGUCAUAUUGCAUAGCGCAACAUUGAGUAAUGUUUAUGAAUAGCCGUUGUGGCACUAAAUACUGGGCAUGGCUGGGAGCGUUUUUGCUCUCUUCUUUGUUCUGGUUAGAGUUAUUCCGCAUUUUUACUAAUUAAUCUCUCAGCGCCCCGGCUAACACCCGGGGCGUUUUGUUUUC